AUGAAAACAACUAAUAACCUACCUGAUUUGAAUGAGUUUGGUAAAAUACGGAUGGCAAGUGCAACCGACACUCACGAUCAGAAUGGGAAAUUAACAAUUAUAGGACUACUCCGAAUGAUCACAGAUGAACUGUACGUUAGUGCAAGUCAAACGGAAGAAUCAAACGAUACAUCGUUAACAGCAACAGGAGGAAUUUUCAAUUCUCUAAAUUUGAACGAACGAAUAGCGGCGCAUAAUUUGUCGACUAAUGAUUACGGCCGCUUUCUAGCCAAUAUCGUUAAUCAUUUGCUGCCAGAUGAGAUGCAUCGUGACAGGAAUCGAGUAGCUCGAUUAGAGGAAGAACCAAGUAUUACUCGGAAAUUCUUAAAGUUCUAUGAAUUUAUGAGUUCUCUGAACAAAUCACGCUCAAGAUAUUGUAGAAACGCCGAUCCUAACUCAUUCCGCUGUACGUUCAGGCCUAACAAUGUAAUAUUAACUCAACCGAUCGACGCAAAUAAUUUACGAAAAUAUAUGGCAGAACCUUAUUAUAGUGGCAUAAGAGUUGUGAUCAAUUCUACCAGAACAGAAACCAGAUGUUAUAAUAGAUAUGGCGAAUCCAUUCCCGGUUUCUUACACGGUGAGAGGUUUGAGUCUCACGCCACAUUCGAGGCUGUUGUGUUACUACUAGACAGGACAGGAGCACUUCGUUCAUGGCGUUACAAUCCAAGACCUAAGUGGUUUAAAAGCGCUGAACCUAAAACUCGUCGACGCACAAAAAUCGAAAAGCCUAAUUUUGUGUUGAAAGUUGUCGAUGUGUUUCGGUUUGAAGACAGCGUUCUCUAUGACACACCUUUUGAAAAACGAGUUAAUUUCAUCGAACGUAUUCGUGGUCGGUUAAUUCAGUGUAGUUCAUACGCUCAAGAUCAAGCACACCUUGACAUGUUAGAGAGAGAUCACCGAUCUAGCCUAGACCCGUUCCACCCGAUCACCGGUAUCAUGUAUCGCCGUUGCGUCUCCUCCUACGACGAAAAGCCUCUCGUAUUUAAAUUUAGACCUAUACAUUAUUACGACUUUUUUAGUAAUGAAUUCGUGUCUCCUUCACUUAGUGCAGACAAAGUAAGCGUCGUCGGUAAACCUUUAUCAAACAUACAUGGUAUAUUGAUUGAUCCAGAAAUUGUUGCUGAAUACCGCACCGUUUGUAUCGUGUACGCGCAUGACAAAGAAUGUUAUUUUGUUUGCACAUUUGAUCGAGAUAUGUUCCAUUUUAAGCACGCAGGUACAUUAUUACGUGGCACAGACAUUUCACGAAAGAGACCAAAGUAUAAAAGGGAACGUAUAUACGUGCAAAACGCUAGAAGGAUACCCAUGGGUAUCAUGCUUUUAAGAGUUUACUAUAACAAAGAAAAAGGACAAAAGUGGGGGUGGGAAGAGAACGAAGCACACGUCAAACGUGAUAAAGAGAAUACUGAAAAAACGUUCGAAUCAUCUUAUUCGAUAGUAGCGUACGAAGAUAAACUCACUUUAUCAAUGUAUGACGUACCGCACGAUGACCAAUUAUUUAAAAAUUGA
rnacentral:lncRNA from 1 species